ensembl:lncRNA
UAUUUAACUUUCCCUAUAAACAUUUUUGGAAAUAACAUGCUGAAUGUUAUUUUUAAAAGUGUAAAAUGGCAUGUCAGUGCUGCUACAAUACCAUUGACAAGUGACUUAGCAGACAUUUCUCAAAGAUUUGAAGGCUAGAAGUCCAGGAUCAAGGUGCUGGGUGAUUCUUUCCUGUGAGGGCUCUUCAAGAUCUUGAAUGUUACCUUCUGUGCCCUAAAAGUCUCCAGUAAGGACACUUGUCUCAUCCUUUACCCUCAUGACUUAACUGAUUUCCCAAAGGCUCCACCUCCAGAGGACAUCUUAUUUGGAAUAAGGUGAUGCAUUGAGUGCAUAACAGAAGGUAAUUGGUGUGGACUAGAGACCUUGGCUGUGAAAGGUUCAGACUCAACAGUUGGGUUUUCUUGGUCAGCAGAGGCUGAAACAGGCUGCACAUUCCCCAGAGCCUAUUCUAUUAGUGUCUAUGAAAAUGAAACCUUACAAAGCUAAGUAUAGGAGAGGAAUUGAAAAAGAGCAAUGAACUAUACAAGAAUGAUACAGAAGCAAGAACUGCUACAUACAUGGAUGAAUCGCACAGAUGUCAUGCGAAAGCCAGAUAAUGAAAGAAUGCUGUUUCCAUGUGUAAGUUCAAGAACAGAUAAACCUAAAAGUGUCAUCGAAGUCGUUCUAGUGGUUACGUCUGGACAGGAGUAAAUGUGUACCAGCUGCAUAGACAAACUUCUGAGUAGAAAUCUCUAUUCCAGGCCCCACGGCACACAAGAGAGUCAAAACAAGUAAAAGACGUGCCUGGUCACAAAUUUCCAAAAAAUUGCAGGAGGGGAAGAAAGGGGAUACAAAUGACAGUGUGGAGAGAAUGGAUAUUAGCAGCACGGCUUCGGUAACCAGUCUUCUGGAUGAAAUACCCUCUCAUGUGCAGGACAUUCCGAACAAGGCUGGACUCUAGGGUAUUCCUUGAGCUGAAAUUAGAAAAUAACCCGACAGUGAAGCCGCUCUUUCACGUAAGCUGUAGUGUGAGUGUCCUGCUCCGUGAACCGCUGCUGUGAACAGAAGCCUGUUUCGGCAUCGGAAGCUGUCCCAGCAGCCCUUCCAUCUCUUUCAUGAAAGCUUCAUAAACGUCAUCCUUAGUUUGUACUGAGACAGGAACAGAAGGACCAGAUUUGGGGGCUGCUUUGGCAAGAGGCACAGCGGAAUCACCUCUGACUUUCUUUGGGGGGCAGCAGUGGCCCCUUUAUUCUCGACGUACCCUCAGUGCAGUGGGCACGACUCGAGUAAUCUCUGCCUUGGGGUUAAUGAUCUGUGGCUUAGCGCUCUGUGGCUUUCUUCUCAAUGGUGGCUGCACUCCUGUCAUCCGCCUCGGGUCGCUGAAUCAAGUUGGCCGGGGCAGGCACUCAACACGCCUGGGUUCGGCAAGGGAGCUGGGGGGGAAGAGCCCAGGUGGGGCAGGUACGAGUGGAGUCACCAAAGUUGGGCGCAUCACCAGGACAGGGCGGAGGGAUACCUGGUAGUGCAGGGAAAUGCAGCCGAAUGCAGCCGUGGUGGGGAGGAGGGCCAGGGAGCAGCGCUGGAGGAGG